AUACAUAUAUACCUUAUAAUAAGCAAGCCAUUUCACCGCUGACAUCUCUGGUUGCUUAAAAUACAAACAGUCUCUAGUAGUUAUAAUAGGAACCGUAUAAUCGACGUAAUCAAGCCUAAUAUUGGUCAUCGAAAAAUCGGACAAUCCGAUAUCUACUUCUCCAGAAGCCACUAAACGAAAUGCCCCGUUCCAGCAUUUAGUCGUCACAUUGAAACUACCAAACUCGAGUUCCUCGGUCACGAUAUCGAGAGUGAAAUUUAGAUAUUUUUCAAGCUCGUUGACCGCUCUACUAAAGUAUCCUUCGAACUUGUCAUCUUUUGUCGCGAAUAUCGAGUUCUACAGCAGACAAACGAAAAUUUGACAGCUCGCAAAACUUUUCCUUUCAAGUCAUUCCUCCUCUCGUGCAGAGUCAAGUUGGACAACAAGUCAACAACUGCUGUUAGAGACUUCAAUUGUUUCUUUGGAUACCACUUGACUAAAUCUGAAAUGACGGUGUUGUUCCCAUCCACGGAAUACCAUUCACGAAGAACAGGGUCACCGGGACACAUCACCAACAUUUCAGUGUCGUAUAACAAAUUAAAUGGAUUUCCCGGCGGAUUGUAGCAAUAGCUUUCCGCGUUCAUCGCCGUAGGCACGAAUAUCACAAACCAUGCAAAAUGGGAUAUUCUAAAGGACUUCGAGUAUUUUGAAAAUUCAGAAACUGCGUCAGAUCCGGAUAUAAAAACGAUGGCCAACGGUCGGAGGAUAUUAUUUCUAUCUAGCGCGUGAAUGUUCUUGAAUGUGCUACUUAAAGUUGCAAUUUGUUCACGAUGAAGAAGACGAGACCAUGUGUGUGAUAAAUAUGUUAGUUUCAAAUCUAAACAAUGUAAACAACAAUGUAAAAGUGAGCAAAUGUAUUGUAUUUCUAAUUAUCAUAUUGUAAAUGAAUUUUCUAUGCGGAAAUAUUUGAAAAUCGUACCAUCGAAAUUUUUAUUCUCGUUAGAAGAAUGCAACAAAAAGACAGCAGAAGCCGAAUAGUAGCUGCGAAUCCAUUUUAUUAAAGGAAUGUACAGCGUUUCGUUGUUGUACAUUUCAGUUCCCGUUAAAUGAAAAAAGAUAGAAAUAACAUUUAAAUACAUUACAAUUUUCAUUCCGUUCAAAUUGAUUGUCUCUUUCUUUCUUUCUAGAACGUCACGAAUAGUGCACGCGUAUAUCACGCAGAAAGACAAUAGGUUGUCGAGAACAUUCAAAAGACUACGAGAAUCGUUAAUAACUGAAUUCUCGUGAGUAGAUGCAAGUAGUUUUAUUCAAGGAUGAACAUUAAAUAUUUACGAAACGUCCGUGCAAACUUUUGACGUGAAAAAUGCAAGUUUUUAAAAAUACGAUCACGUUAGCUACGAUAGUAAUCCAUUAAAUAGGAUGUAACAAUAUUAUUGAAAUUUAUUAUAGCGACAAUGUAAAUGAUGAUACAUGAUAGGCUGAAUGCGAACAAGCAAUAGAGGAGAUAAUAAUAUUAUUUUCAUACUUGAUACAUUUAAAAACUUUAAUUAAUUAAUAUUAAAAAUUAUAAAGACCGAUUAAAAUAUUGAGAGAAUAUUUAUAACGAACAGAAUGCUUAAUCAA
rnacentral:misc_RNA from 1 species